UGGGGAAUAUUGGGCAAUGGGCGGAAGCCUGACCCAGCAACGCCGCGUGAAGGAAGAAGGCUUUCGGGUUGUAAACUUCUUUUCUGAGGGACGAAGCAAGUGACGGUACCUUAGGAAUAAGCCACGGCUAACUACGUGCCAGCAGCCGCGGUAAUACGUAGGUGGCAAGCGUUAUCCGGAUUUACUGGGUGUAAAGGGCGUGUAGGCGGGAAAGCAAGUCAGAUGUGAAAACCACGGGCUCAACCUGUGGCCUGCAUUUGAAACUGUUUUUCUUGAGUACUGGAGAGGCAGACGGAAUUCCUA
rnacentral:rRNA from 1 species